rnacentral:sRNA from 1 species
GCUGGUUGUGGUGACACACAUCUGUAAUCCCAGCUACUGAGGAAGUUGAGGCAGGAGGAUCACAAGUUUGAGGCCAGCCUCAGCAACUCAAUGAGACCCUCAGCCACUU